GGGACCUUAGCUCGCUGGUUAGAGCAGACGGCUCAUAACCGUCCGGUCGUAGGUUCCGAGUCCUAAGGGUCCA
rnacentral:tRNA from 1 species